rnacentral:rRNA from 1 species
UACAGAGGGUGCAAGCGUUAAUCGGAAUUACUGGGCGUAAAGCGUGCGUAGACGGUUAUGUAAGUCAGGUGUGAAAGCCCCGGGCUUAACCUGGGAACUGCAUUUGUGACUGCAUUGCUGGAGUGCGGCAGAGGGGGAUGGAAUUCCGCGUGUAGCAGUGAAAUGCGUAGAUAUGCGGAGGAACACCGAUGGCGAAGGCAAUCCCCUGGGCCUGCACUGACGCUCAUGCACGAAAGCGUGGGGAGCAAACAGG